GAGGGUAUAGCUCAGUGGUAGAGCACAUGCUUAGCAUGCCGGAGGUCCUGGGUUCAGUCCCCAGUACCUCCA
rnacentral:tRNA from 1 species